rnacentral:tRNA from 1 species
AUUCUUUUAGUAUAAUUAAGUAUAUUUAACUUCCAAUUAAAAGGUUUAUAAAUAUAAAAAGAAUG